UUUGGAUGGAGAUGAUAGAUAUGUAGCUACAACACUAAACUGUAUCCCCCGAUUUUGUUAUCAUUCGUUUUUUUGGAUUGCGUCCCUAUGGAAGUAAUUUUAAAGACGUAUUCACGUUUCAUUAUAAACCAC